GUGAAGUUCUGGUUAACACACAGGUUUUUGUUUAUAGGACGUUUCAAGGAUGCAGGCUGUGGAUGGAGCCAAGAAAGGAUUUGACAUGAUGAUUAAUUUGAUUUCAUUCCUUAAACACAGGUUUGAAGUUAUGGAGCAUUUAUACAUAAUGUGAUAGGACUAAACUUUUCUUUUAAUUCCCUAACCUGAGUGAAGGAUUUUGAGUUUGUAACACAUGAGAUGUGUCACAAAAAGGGGGGUGUUAAUAUAUGCGAUUAGCUACAUGAAAGGUGCUCUUUUAGGGUUACUAAGCAAAUGUCUACGUGACCUUUCUGAGUUCUGAGAAUAACUUUGUUAAGUUGACAGGAAACACGUCGGAACAGCCAUAUAGGGCAAAUGUGUUGGAGCUUGUAAUUAAAUGUGGGACUUGAAAAGAGGAAGUAAAUUUGGUACAGGACGUACUUGAGAUGAUCAGACGAGAGAAAGGAGAAGAACAGAGCACAAAUACACCGAGUUGUUUAUAUUACAAAGAAGAUCAAAAGCUUGUUAGACACAGGUUAUAAUGGAAGCAUAAAAGGGAUGAGAGGAACUUUACAUAACAUAGAAAUCCUGCAACAAUUCGUAAAUUGCCCAAACACAGUGUUCAGACCGGAUAUGCGCUACCCGUUAAAGGGGGCGAAGAAAUCAGGCCUAAGUCUGAAAAAUGAAAUGGGUUAACUCGAUAGAGGAUGUUUCCAAAGGUCGAGAAAAUAAUGUAGGACCUUUUACCAGGAGAAAGCUAAUUGUAUCUUUUACACUUUAUAGUGUGCACUGAGGGAAGUCAGGAAUAGUUUAAAUUAGGAUUGAAAAAAUUAAACUAGGUGAAAGGGGGUGUAGCAAGUAGAUUUAGGGCAGCUCACAGCCUGGCGUAAACGCAAGGUGUCGUCACACAGCUUAAGUUAUUUGUUAGAUUUAUUUUUAUGACAAAAUAAUAAGGAAACAUUGAAAACAUACAACCCGUUGAGGAGACAGAUAGGGUUGGGGAAUCGAAGGGUUUUGUUUGUUUAGCAUAAUCUCUUUUGUUAUAUUUUAGUUUUAACAGGGAACAUGCCUCUCUGGAGCUUCUCUCCUGAUGCUACCCUGCCAAAGACCCUUAUCCCUAG
ensembl:lncRNA